UACGGAGGGGGUUAGCGUUGUUCGGAAUUACUGGGCGUAAAGCGCGCGUAGGCGGAUUAGUCAGUCAGAGGUGAAAUCCCAGGGCUCAACCCUGGAACUGCCUUUGAUACUGCUAGUCUUGAGUUCGAGAGAGGUGAGUGGAAUUCCCAGUGUAGAGGUGAAAUUCGUAGAUAUUGGGAAGAACACCGGUGGCGAAGGCGGCUCACUGGCUCGAUACUGACGCUGAGGUACGAAAGUGUGGGGAGCAAACAGG
rnacentral:misc_RNA from 1 species